GUGCUCACUUCGGCAGCACCUACACUGAAAUUUGGAUGCUACAAAGAAUGCCAGCGUGGCCACAGCCCAAGGAUGACACGCAAAAUGUGCAGCGUUCUGUAAUUUUUU
ensembl:snRNA U6 U6 spliceosomal RNA